rnacentral:rRNA from 1 species
GAUGAACGCUAGCGACAGGCUUAACACAUGCAAGUCGAGCGGCAGCACGAUUGAAGCUUUCUUUAAUUGGUGGCGACCGGCGCACGGGUGAGUACUGCGUAUGCAACCUACCCAUCAGAGUGGGAGAACCCGGCGAAAGUCGGACUAAUACCGCAUAAAACAGGGAUGCCGCAAGGGAACAUUUGUUAAAGGAUUAAUUGAUGCUGGACGGUCAUGCGUUCCAUUAGAUAGUGGGUGAGGGAACGGCUCACCAAGUCUGCGAUGGAUAGGGGUUCUGAGAGGAAGGUCCCCCACACUGGUACUGUGACACGGACCAGACGCCAACGGGAGGCAGCAGUGAGGAAUAUUGGUCAAUGGGCGGGAGCCUGAACCAGCCGAGUCGCGUGAAGGAAGACUGCCCUAUGGGUUGUAAACUUCUUUUAUUGGGGAAUAAUGGGUGGGACGUGUCCUGCAAGCGAAAGUACCCUAUGAAUAAGCAUCGGCUAACUCCGUGCCAGCCGCCGCUGUAA